rnacentral:rRNA from 1 species
UACAACUCCAAACCCAUGUGAACCUUACCAUUUGUUGCCUCGGCAGGUCGCAGCUUACCCUGUGAGAUCCUACCCUGUAGGGCCUCACCUGGUAGUUGCGGGUAAUCCUGCCGGUGGUCUACCAAACUCUGUUUACUAUGUUAUUCUGAAUAUUAUAACUAAAUAAGUUAAAACUUUCAACAACGGAUCUCUUGGUUCUGGCAUCGAUGAAGAACGCAGCGAAAUGCGAUAAGUAAUGUGAAUUGCAGAAUUCAGUGAAUCAUCGAAUCUUUGAACGCACAUUGCGCCCAUUAGUAUUCUAGUGGGCAUGCCUGUUCGAGCGUCAUUUCAACCCUUAAGCCCCUGUUGCUUAGCGUUGGGAGCCUACAACCCUCUGUAGCUCCUCAAAGUUAGUGGCGGAGUCGGUUUCACACUCUAGACGUAGUAAUUUUUAUCUCGCCUAUAGAUGAGCCGGUCCCCUGCCGUAAAACCCCCUAAUUUUUAAAGGUUGACCUCGGAUCAGGUAGGAAUACCCGCUGAACUUAAGCAUAUCAAUAAGCGGAGGAAAAGAAACCAACAGGGAUUGCCCUAGUAACGGCGAGUGAAGCGGCAACAGCUCAAAUUUGAAAUCUGGCCUUCGGGUCCGAGUUGUAAUUUGUAGAGGAUGCUUUUGGCGCGGUGCCUUCCGAGUUCCCUGGAACGGGACGCCUUAGAGGGUGAGAGCCCCGUACGGUUGGACACCAAGCCUCUGUAAAGCUCCUUUGACGAGUCGAGUAGUUUGGGAAUGCUGCUCUAAAUGGGAGGUAAAUUUCUUCUAAAGCUAAAUAUUGGCCAGAGACCGAUAGCGCACAAGUAGAGUGAUCGAAAGAUGAAAAGCACUUUGAAAAGAGGGUUAAAUAGCACGUGAAAUUGUUGAAAGGGAAGCGUUUGCGACCAGACUUUUUCCUAGCGGAUCAUCCGGUGUUCUCACCGGUGCACUUUGCUAGGUUAAGGCCAGCAUCGGUUUCUGUAGGGGGAUAAAAGCUUGGGGAAUGUAGCUCCCUCGGGAGUGUUAUAGCCUCUUGCAUAAUACCCUUACGGGGACCGAGGACCGCGC